UGCUCAGAAACACCGUCGUUCUGCAUCUUGCCACCAGAUUGGAGGUCUGUCGUCUCUCUCUGCCGGCUGGUGGAGGUGCCCGCCCUUCCCCUCAUCAUUCUCCUGGUGAAAAACGUAUCCUUUGUGGCAUACAGACCUUGCUGAUAUACAAGUUCAUCCGUGGAGUCGUUAUUUGUAACCGAGCGGCCACCCAGGCAACUAAGAACCGCUGGGCAGUGUAUGGAAAUGUUACCGUCAAGUGAAAACCGCUACCACCACCACCACCACCACCACCACAACAGACAGUAAGCGUUCACGGAUGAAGAUUGGGAUUUGCUCUGCUCCUCCCAAGCCGCUCCCGUGACUCCGGCAGCGAGGCAGAAGAGGACGAGGUGGAGGAGGAAGAGGAAGAAUCAGUGAGGCUCAGCAAGGGGAGUACAUAACACUCAUACAAGAGGAAAUGAGUAUCCCUUCACCCAGACUGAUUGUACUGGACAUAAGUGAAGCUUUCCCAAGAUUCAUGGAAGCAGAGAAGAAACGUGAUGUCAGAUGUACUACCCCCUCCUGGAGCUGCCAAGUUGUCCAUACUUCCUUCCGCUGUGUGUGCUGUUAUGUCUGGUAAACACUUGCCUCAGGACUCUCAGAGCAUUGGUGACAAUACCUGUGACAGUCCAUGACAACAGUGACAUUUGCAAAGUGCAAAGUGAUGCUAGUGUGACAUGCAGAACAGCAAAACAGCCAUGAUGAUGAAAUUGAUCAUCACCACCAGCGAAGUGUCACACCACCAACAGCAGUGCAAGGAGCAAGUGGCUGAGGUGGCAGCUAUGGACACUGACCCACACCACACCCUGAACACCAUGAGUCAAUUAUCUGUGGUAUUAGGACAAAAGUCACCAGCAAAUCACCAAGACCUACCAAGCCACCAAACAGGAAGGAGACAAGAACAAUCCCCAGGAAUGUGCCCAUUACACCAGGGAGCAGAUGAGCCUCAUAUGGGAAGAGAGGUGGCUACAGUGCAUGGCAAGCCUCAGUCACAUUAACAUGAUCCACAUGUGGAAAAGAAUCACAUUAACAUGAUCCACAUGUGGAAAAGAAUCAAUCACGUACAUGGCAAGCACACACGCCCAUUCACCUACCCUAACCCUGCAGGAAAGGCAGGGUAGCUACUGUCAACCUACCCAACCAGCUACAUGAGAAAAAGGCAGCACUGGAAACUGGGCAUGCAGUCAGUGUCACAGCUGCCAGCCUCAAUAUCGAUGACUCAGAUCACGAGAUAACGAGAGAGGAACUACACAGUGCAAGGAGGCUAAGCAAGGACACAGUUCCAGGUGAUGACAGCAUCACAAAUGUGUAAUGUUGUUGGCGACCCACUACUUCAGCUGUUCAACAUGACCUUCACAACCAGGGGACACUGCCGCAGGAAUGGGCAGCAGCUAACAUCGUGCCCAUUCCAAAGCCCCACAAACCUGAUAAACACAUGACAAUCAGCCUCACCCCCACUAUGUGCAAAAUGCUUGAGCAAGAUCCUUCUCAGUCACCUUCUGUACAAGAUAAGCAAGCUUGCUCUGGGGGUGGUUGGAUUCGUCUGGCACAGAAGCACAGCAAAUUGCCUGGCAAACUUUGUGUUCAACGCGACAGCAAAAACGUCAGUCUUCAUUGACAUAGGGAAGGCGUUCGACAAGACACAACCACUUGUCAUACAGCUGACCAAGCUUGGAGUUAAAGGUAAACUUCUCCUGUGGAUACAGCACUACCUCAAUGACAACAGUUAAGCCCGCAUCACGUACAGAGUAACGUGUCAUGUUAAGUUACUACACACUGGAGAACAGGACGCCACAGGGGAAAAUUAAUAAUAAGUCCAAUGCUAUUCAAUGUGUUAAUGAAUGUCAUGGCUAUGCUUCCCUACCCUGAUGGUACUCAACAUAUAGGAUACUCAGAUGAUGAUGUCUUGCAAACCACCAGCAAGGACUCCACCAACACUAUGCAAAUCUCUGGACCUUCUAACAAUUAAAUAAUCGAUAUUGG